rnacentral:rRNA from 1 species
AAUUCGCCCUUGAGCACGUAGGUGGGUUUGUAAGUCAGGUGUGAAAGCCUUCUGUUCAACGGGAGAAUUGCAUCUGAAACUACGAAUCUUGAGUGUAGGAGGGGAGAAUGGAACUUCUGGUGGAGCGGUGAAAUGCGUAGAUAUCAGAAGGAACGCCGGCGGCGAAAGCGAUUCUCUGGCCUAUUACUGACACUCAGUGUGCGGAAGCUAGGGGAGCAAACGGGAUUAGAUACCCCGGUAGUCCUAGCCGUAAACGAUGGGCACUAAGUAGGGGGGAUUACCGACGUUCUCUCUGCCGUAGCUAACGCAUUAAGUGCCCCGCCUGGGGAGUACGGCCGCAAGGCUAAAACUCAAGAGAAUUGACGGGGGCUCGCACAAGCGGUGGAGCAUGUGGCUUAAUUCGAUGCAACGCGAAGAACCUUACCGGGGCUUGACAUGGUAGAAGUAGGAACCCGAAAGGGUAACGAACGGUAUCCAGUCCGUGACUAUCACAGGUGUUGCAUGGCUGUCGUCAGCUCGUGUCGUGAGACGUUGGGUUAAGUCCCCUAACGAGCGAAACCCUUGUUUUUAGUUACCAGCGGGUUAUGCCGGGUACUCUAGAAAGACUGCCGUCGUCAAGACGGAGGAAGGUGGGGAUGACGUCAAGUCAUCAUGGCCCUUAUGCCCCGGGCUGCACACGUGCUACAAUGGUCGGUACAAACGGAAGCGAAGCCGAGAGGUGAAGCGAAUCCAAGGGCGAAUU